GAUGUAAUGUGUGCAUAGUUUUCAUGUGUCUGAUAGCCGUGUCUGUCUGUGCUUUGCAUUCAGAUCUUACUAUCCACACAAACAUCAUGCAGCCAAAGAUCAUAGUACUGGCCUAGCGUUGUCUCAUUGGACAUAAUUUACCCCUGGCCAGCCUCCAAAUUCCCACACAGAA